GUAACUGAGUUGUGCACUUCUUCAUGUAAUAAAAUUAAAAAUUUUUCUUUUAUUUUAUAUUACGUUACGACACGUUGUUUGUUAUAUAUAUUAUAUAUAAUUUACUGUUUUAUGGACUUAUAAGUAUUAGACUGUUGCAUUUUAAAAGGACACAUAAUUUAUUUUUAUAUAUAUAUAUAGGUGUUACUUAAUAAUGAAAACAGACUUAUUUGUAUCCUAACAGUCUAUACAACGUUAUAUAUAAUCUUUAAUUAAUGAAUUUAUUUUAUUURAAAUAAAUUUAUUUUUUAUUGGUCAGUAACGUAGAUUUUAAUUAUAUGAGUAAUAACAGGACCCGUCUUGAAACACGGACCAAGGAGUCUAGCAUAUGUGCAAGUCAUCGAGUCAAUUAUAUAGACUCAUAGACGUAAUUAACGUAAAGGUAAUAUAUAAUACAUAUAUUUAUAUAUAAAUUAUCAAAGGAAGAUAAGUAGUGUAAUAAUAGUAAAACUAUUUCGCAUUCCUGGG
rnacentral:rRNA from 1 species